rnacentral:rRNA from 1 species
CCCUUAGAUGUCCGGGGCCGCACGCGCGCUACACUGAAGGAAUCAGCGUGGCUUUCUCCCUGACCCGAAAGGGUUGGGUAACCCGUUGAACCUCAUUCGUGAUUGGGAUAGGGACUUGCAAUUGUUUCCCUUGAACGAGGAAUUCCCAGUAAGCGCAAGUCAUCAGCUUGCGUUGAUUACGUCCCUGCCCUUUGUACACACCGCCCGUCGCUACUACCGAUUGAAUGGUUUAGUGAGAUCCUUGGAUCGGCCCUGUCGCGGCUGGCAACGGCCGCGUCGGCGCGUCGAGAAGACGAUCAAACUUGAUCAUUUAGAGGAAGUAAAAGUCGUAACA